CUUAGGGAUAAGGGGUGCCACCAUCAGGUGGCCGCAGAGAAUAGGCCCAAGCGACUGUUUACCAAAAACAUAGGUUUCUGCUAAGUCGCAAGACGAUGUAUAGGAGCUGACGCCUGCCCGGUGCUGGAAGGUUAAGGGGAUCUGUUAGAGCAAUCGAAGCAGUGAACUUAAGCCCCAGUAAACGGCGGCCGUAACUAUAACGGUCCUAAGGUAGCGAAAUUCCUUGUCGGGUAAGUUCCGACCCGCACGAAAGGCGUAACGAUUUGGGCACUGUCUCAACAACAGACUCGGUGAAAUUGUAAUUCCGGUGAAGAUGCCGGAUACCUGCGACAGGACGGAAAGACCCCAUGGAGCUUUACUGUAGCUUGACAUUGGGUCUUGGUACUACAUGUACAGGAUAGGU
rnacentral:rRNA from 1 species